UCAAAAGCAAAAAGUAUCCCAUAUCAGCAGGGUGGAACGUACUCUAGAUUUGAUGGACUUGUUUUGACCCUCAAAUUCUUCAGUCGGCCUUAUACUUUGGGAGGAAACCAGAAAACCCUCCAGCUCAGUUCAAGAAUAAGCCUGUGGAAAGUUACUUCUUCAAAAGCAAAAGUAUCUCAUAUCAUCUCUUCUCAUUUUU
rnacentral:lncRNA from 1 species